GGUGGCUCUGUGGUAGAGUGCUUGCCUUGCAUGCAUGAGGCCGUGGGUUCGAUUCCUCAGCACCA
rnacentral:tRNA from 1 species